rnacentral:pre_miRNA from 9 species
UUUCGAUAGCGUAAAAAUUAAGUCAAAUUUGUAUGGAAUUGGAACGUUUGCCGCUAGGGGCGCUGUUCCAAUUGCAUACAAAUGUGAGUUAACUUUUACGCCAUCGA